CUGUGAGACAGGUGCUGCAUGGCUGUCGUCAGCUCGUGUUGUGAAAUGUUGGGUUAAGUCCCGCAACGAGCGCAACCCUUAUCCUUUGUUGCCAGCGGUCCGGCCGGGAACUCAAAGGAGACUGCCAGUGAUAAACUGGAGGAAGGUGGGGAUGACGUCAAGUCAUCAUGGCCCUUACGACCAGGGCUACACACGUGCUACAAUGGCGCAUACAAAGAGAAGCAAUCUCGCGAGAGCUAGCGGACCUCAUAAAGUGCGUCGUAGUCCGGAUUGGAGUCUGCAACUCGACUCCAUGAAGUCGGAAUCGCUAGUAAUCGUGAAUCAGAAUGUCACGGUGAAUACGUUCCCG
rnacentral:rRNA from 1 species